UCCACAGGAAGUGAUGUUUCUGAGUUAAUUUAGAGGUGGGCUGGAAAUUAAUGUAAAGCCUCUGCAGAGACAGAGAAACAAAUUAUGUGUGUGUGUGUGUGUGUGUGUGUGUGCCGGUUUAGCUAUCAUUAUGAGGACUUAAUCUUGACAAACGACUAACAUUGUGUGGACAUUUAUAGCUGUGAGGACAUUUUGCCAUGUCCACUCAAUAAAAACACAAUUUUUGAGUUAGGCGUUGGGAAUAAGGUGGGAAUUAAAUGGCUCAGGGGAAAUAUCAAGAUUAGUUAUAGAAAUUAAUGGGAGUGUGUGUUUGUGUGUGAGGGCGGAGUUCAACAAAGGCGGUGCUUCCUCAGGGCAGCAUGCACACUGGAGCCGCUGCUGGCUAUGAAGAGAACAAUAGUCAGACUGAAUGUUGAACAUCAGCUGCUUCCUCCUGCUGAUUUAAACCUUGGUGGACAGAUGGAACAUUGGCUGUGGAUUAUUCUGGCUGCUCUUUUCUCUGAGUGUAAAGGAGACUCAGUGAAGCAGACAGAAGGAGAAGUUGUUGCUGCUGCAGGAGAAUCACUGACUCUAAGAUGUACCUUUGAAACAUCCUAUACGACGCCCACAUUGUUCUGGUAUAAGCAAGAAGUAAACAGUUUCCCAAAGUUCAUGCUGAAGCAGAUGUCAUCAACAAAAGACAAAGCUCCAGAGAUCAACAACAACAGAUUUGAUGCUAACCUCAAUAAAUCCAACAAAUCCUUCAACCUGAAGAUCCAGGAUCUCCGUCUGUCAGACUCUGCUGUGUACUACUGCGCUCUGCAGCCCACAGUGACAGGAAACACCAGAACCUUAUACAAAAACCUGCAGUACUCCACAGCAGCCACUAGAGGGCAGCAGCAUCUUCACCUGGUUCCUCUCCAACAGUUCAAAGUGGGAGAAGUCAGAGGAAACCAGUGGAACCAGUUAGGAAACCCACUGGGUUAAAUAGCUCUCCAAUAAAAGCAAAAGUAUUUCU